rnacentral:rRNA from 1 species
AGAGUUUGAUCCUGGCUCAGAAUGAACGCUGGCGGCAUGCCUAACACAUGCAAGUCGAACGAAGGCUUCGGCCUUAGUGGCGCACGGGUGCGUAACGCGUGGGAAUCUGCCCUCAGGUUCGGAAUAACAGCGAGAAAUUGCUGCUAAUACCGGAUGAUAUCGCGAGAUCAAAGAUAUAUCGCCUGAGGAUGAGCCCGCGUAGGAUUAGCUAGUUGGUGUGGUAAAGGCGCACCAAGGCGACGAUCCUUAGCUGGUCUGAGAGGAUGAUCAGCCACACUGGGACUGAGACACGGCCCAGACUCCUACGGGAGGCAGCAGUGGGGAAUAUUGGACAAUGGGCGAAAGCCUGAUCCAGCAAUGCCGCGCGAGUGAUGAAGGCCUUAGGGUUGUAAAGCUCUUUUACCCGGGAUGAUAAUGACAGUACCGGGAGAAUAAGCUCCGGCUAACUCCGUGCCAGCAGCCGCGGUAAUACGGAGGGAGCUAGCGUUAUUCGGAAUUACUGGGCGUAAAGCGCACGUAGGCGGCUUUGUAAGUUAGAGGUGAAAGCCUGGAGCUCAACUCCAGAAUUGCCUUUAAGACUGCAUCGCUUGAAUCCAGGAGAGGUGAGUGGAAUUCCGAGUGUAGAGGUGAAAUUCGUAGAUAUUCGGAAGAACACCAGUGGCGAA